UCUAAUACCGAAUACACCCUGCUGGAUCGCAUGGCCUGGUGGGGGAAAGCUUUUGCGGUGUGGGAUGGGCCCGCGGCCUAUCAGCUUGUUGGUGGGGUGAUGGCCUACCAAGGCGACGACAGGUAGCCGGCCUGAGAGGGUGUCCGGCCACACUGGGACUGAGAUACGGCCCAGACUCCUACGGGAGGCAGCAGUGGGGAAUAUUGCACAAUGGGCGCAAGCCUGAUGCAGCGACGCCGCGUGAGGGAUGACGGCCUUCGGGUUGUAAACCUCUUUCAAUAGGGACGAAGCGUAAGUGACGGUACCUAUAGAAGAAGCACCGGCCAACUACGUGCCAGCAGCCGCGGUAAUACGUAGGGUGCGAGCGUUGUCCGGAAUUACUGGGCGUAAAGAGCUCGUAGGUGGUUUGUCGCGUUGUUCGUGAAAACUCACAGCUUAACUGUGGGCGUGCGGGCGAUACGGGCAGACUUGAGUACUGCAGGGGAGACUGGAAUUCCUGGUGUAGCGGUGGAAUGCGCAGAUAUCAGGAGGAACACCGGUGGCGAAGGCGGGUCUCUGGGCAGUAACUGACGCUGAGGAGCGAAAGCGUGGGGAGCGAACAGGAUUAGAUACCCUGGUAGUCCACGCCGUAAACGGUGGGUACUAGGUGUGGGUUUCCUUCCUUGGGAUCCGUGCCGUAGCUAACGCAUUAAGUACCCCGCCUGGGGAGUACGGCCGCAAGGCUAAAACUCAAAGAAAUUGACGGGGGCCCGCACAAGCGGCGGAGCAUGUGGAUUAAUUCGAUGCAACGCGAAGAACCUUACCUGGGUU
rnacentral:rRNA from 1 species